AGCGAACGCUAGCGGCGGGCCUAACACAUGCAAGUCGAGCGGAGAACUUCGGUUCUUAGCGGGCGGACGGGUGAGUAACGCGUAGGUAAUGUGCCUUCUGGUGGGGAACAACCGUGCGAAAGCAUGGCUAAUACCGCAUAUGUCGAGAGAUGAAAGCCUUCGGGCGCCAGUAGAGCAGCCUGCGUCCCAUUAUUUAGGUCCUAGUUGGUGAGGUAACGGCUCACCAAGGGGUACGAUGGGUAGCUGGUCUGAGAGGAUGAUCAGCCACACUGGAACUGAGACACGGUCCAGACUCCUACGGGAGGCAGCAGUGGGGAAUAUUGCGCAAUGGGCGAAAGCCUGACGCAGCCACGCCGCGUGAAGUGAUGAAGGCC
rnacentral:rRNA from 1 species